rnacentral:rRNA from 1 species
AGGUUGUUGAGAUUAUUGAUCGGUAUGAUCAUGCAUGUGUCCCACCUAACAUGACUGAUAAUAAGCUUGCGUACAUCCAGAAUGAGGCUAUAUCCAGAGAGUGCACAAGGACUCUCACGGUUACAAAGGAUACGAAGCAGCCAAUUUAUGCCUACUACCAACUUGACAACUUUUAUCAGAAUCAUAGGAGGUAUAGUCUUAUUUGAUGUUUUCAGUCAAUAACUUCUGGAGCAACUUAUUUGAUGUUUUCAGUCAAUAAAAUGGGAUUAUUGUUUGUUAGUUAUGGGUCCUUAUGGAAGUCUAUAUUUGACCUAUUGUGUUGACAUCAGUUCGCAAUUUUAUUUUCCAGUUCAUGCCCCGGUCAAAUCUAGAGCUAUGCAUGCCUAUGUCAUCUCUCACAGAUCACUGUUCUUUUCAUUCCUCCAAUUGAAACCAUGGCUGCCAGUAUUGAGGGUCAGGAUUCUGUACUAGACGUGAUGAGAUAAAAUGAGGUCUGAAUUUUUUAGCCAUGCUUUCUUAGCUCAUGAAGGCAGGAGCAUAUGUGAUUUUUCUGUACCACCUUCCCGCGGCUCUGAGGAUUUUGUCUGCUCGCUGCCUCUCCGCUAUUUAUUUGUUGUGUCUACUGCAUUGUUUGUUCUGCCACCCUUUUCCUCAGUUGCUAGCGGGGGGCCUUGGCUUAUCGUAUUGUUUGUUGCCUUCCUCUCAUAGGUUCGUUGGUAUUGUAAACCAUUUUUGUUGUAGUAAUAACUACAAUGUCAAAUAAAUUUACAUUUCACCUUGCUUCCACUAUUAUUCAAGUUUUUCCCUGCUUAUUGGUCGUACUAGCAAGAUGGUUUUUGUUUUUUUACCGUGUCUAACAUAGUGUAUUUCUACGAUUUUUCUCUGUUAAAACAUAUCCACUUCCAUGCUCUUUUCUCUAUUUUAGUACACAAUAGUAUGGCUGCAUACUACCAAUUGCAGAAAUUAUUCAUUUGCCACUAAAAUAUAUAUUUUCCUAUUCACAAAUUAAAUAACAACAAAGAUGAAGUUGGUCCC